GACGAACGCUGGCGGCGUGCUUAACACAUGCAAGUCGAACGGAGUGGCGAACGGGUGAGUAACACGUGGGUGACCUGCCUUCCACUUCGGGAUAAGCUUGGGAAACUGGGUCUAAUACCGGAUAGUGCAAGAUGAGCUCGCGUCCUAUCGUCUUGUUGGGGGGGUAAUGGCCUACCAAGGCGUCGACGGGUAGCCGGCCUGAGCGGGUGUACGGCCACAUUGGGGCUGAGAUACGGCCCAGACUCCUACGGGGGGCAGCAGUGGGGAAUAUUGCACGAUGGACGGAAGGAUGAUGCAGGGAGGCCGAGUGGGGGGUGAAUGCAAUCGGGUUGUAAACUCCUUUCGACAGGGACGCGGUACCUGUAUAAGAAGCACCGGCUAACUACGUGCCAGCAGCCGCGGUAAUUC
rnacentral:rRNA from 1 species